GACGAACGUUGGCGGCGUGCUUAAUACAUGCAAGUCAACUGAAGCAGUGGUAGCAAUAUCGCUGUGGAGGUGGCGCACGGGUGAGUAACACGUAGGUAAUCUGCCUUCAGGUCUGGCAUAACUCCGGGAAACCGGGGCUAAUAGCAGAUGAUGCAGCGGCUCGACAUUGAGACAGUUGUUAAAGCUAUGUCGCCUGAAGAUGAGCCUGCGUCUGAUUGGCUGGUUGUCGGGGUAACGGCCCACCAAGGCAACGAUCAGUAGCUGGUCUGAGAGGAUGAUCAGGCACAGUGAAACUGAGACACGGUCCAGAGUAGUACGGGAGGGAGAAGUAAGGAAUAUUGCUCAAUGGGAGAAAUACUGAAGCAGCAACGCUGCGUGAGGGACGAAGGGCUUUUGGUUGUAAACCUCUGUAGUGAGAGAAAAAGAUCACAAUCUUUGGGACAUGAUGGUAUCUAAAAAGUAAGCCCCGGCUAACUACGUG
rnacentral:rRNA from 1 species